rnacentral:rRNA from 1 species
CCAGACUCCUACGGGAGGCAGCAGUGGGGAAUAUUGGACAAUGGGCGCAAGCCUGAUCCAGCAAUGCCGCGUGAGUGAUGAAGGCCUUCGGGUUGUAAAGCUCUUUCGCACGCGACGAUGAUGACGGUAGCGUGAGAAGAAGCCCCGGCUAACUUCGUGCCAGCAGCCGCGGUAAUACGAAGGGGGCGAGCGUUGUUCGGAUUUACUGGGCGUAAAGGGCGCGUAGGCGGCGAUGAAAGUCAGGCGUGAAAGCCCCGGGCUCAACCUGGGAGGUGCGCUUGGGACUACAUUGCUGGAUUCGGGAGAGGAGCGUGGAAUUCCCAGUGUAGAGGUGAAAUUCGUAGAUUUGGGAAGAACACCGGUGGCGAAGGCGGCGCUCUGGACCGAUACUGACGCUGAGGCGCGAAAGCGUGGGGAGCACACAGGAUUAGAUACCCUGGUAGUCCACGCUGUACACGAUGUGUGCUAGACGUUGGGGAGCCUAGCUCUUCAGUGUCGCCGCUAACGCUUUAAGCACACCGCCUGGUGGAGUACGGCCGCACGGUUA